rnacentral:lncRNA from 1 species
CAGUUGACCGAAGAUCUCAUCUCAGCCUAGCACAAAGGCAUCACUCGGGUCCGCACCAAGUAGUAGCAACAACAGUAGUAAAUGAGAAGGUUGUCUAACCUUAGUAAUGACUGUCCUGACAAAAGACCUCGAGUUGCCCCUACUCCUGCCUUGCCCCCACCCACUAAAAAGUUUACUCGACUUGCUUAACCAUGCAAGCAUUAUGGAUGCUUCCAUGGUGAUCAACCCUGCUGGUGUCUAAAUAACGUCUACUACAAGUGUGGGAGCACCCAACACUUUAUGAAGGAUUUUCCCCGGAGACCUAAGGAUAUCCCCUAACCAAUUGUCCAAGGGCGUGUCUACCACCUUGACAAGCCUAGUGCCCCUACUACUUCUACCAUAAUUCAGGGUAUAUUUUUUAU